rnacentral:tRNA from 1 species
ACGCCCGUAGCUCAGCUGGAUAGAGCGGUGGACUUCGAAUCCACAGGUCACAGGUUCGAACCCUGUCGGGCGUA